rnacentral:sRNA from 1 species
AGUUCUGGAGGUUAGAAGUUGAAAUCAAGAUGUCCGAAGGCUCAUGCUGUCUCUGAAGACUCUGUGGGAGGAUCAUUCCUUACCUCUUCCUAGCUUCUGGUAUUCCCAUCCGAACAACCUUGGACAACUCAACAACUGUUCAGUAUGCAGGCCUUCUUCAUCACCUGACAAUGAAAGCCAAAAGCACAGUUCGCGAUAUUGAUCCUCAGAACGACCUGACUUUUCUUAGGAUCAGAUCAAAGAAACACGAAAUCAUGGUAGCUCCAGAUAAGGAAUAUCUUCUGAUCGUCAUUCAGAAUCCAUGUGAAUAGACCUGCGAUGGCCAAGGCUGUCUAAGCGACACUGGGUUGGAAACACUUGGCUCUCUCAUGAGUAUUAAAAUUCUAUUUCAAUCUAA